AUUAGAUACCCUGGUAGUCCACGCUGUAAACGAUGUCGACUUGGAGGUUGUUCCCUUGAGGAGUGGCUUCCGGAGCUAACGCGUUAAGUCGACCGCCUGGGGAGUACGGCCGCAAGGUUAAAACUCAAAUGAAUUGACGGGGGCCCGCACAAGCGGUGGAGCAUGUGGUUUAAUUCGAUGCAACGCGAAGAACCUUACCUACUCUUGACANNNNNNGAACUUAGCAGAGAUGCUUUGGUGCCUUCGGGAACUCUGAGACAGGUGCUGCAUGGCUGUCGUCAGCUCGUGUUGUGAAAUGUUGGGUUAAGUCCCGCAACGAGCGCAACCCUUAUCCUUUGUUGCCAGCGGUCCGGCCGGGAACUCAAAGGAGACUGCCAGUGAUAAACUGGAGGAAGGUGGGGAUGACGUCAAGUCAUCAUGGCCCUUACGAGUAGGGCUACACACGUGCUACAAUGGCAUAUACAAAGAGAAGCGACCUCGCGAGAGCAAGCGGACCUCAUAAAGUAUGUCGUAGUCCGGAUUGGAGUCUGCAA
rnacentral:rRNA from 1 species